rnacentral:rRNA from 1 species
UACGAAGGGGGCUAGCGUUGUUCGGAUUUACUGGGCGUAAAGCGCACGUAGGCGGUUUGUUAAGUCAGGGGUGAAAUCCCAGAGCUCAACUCUGGAACUGCCUUUGAUACUGGCAAGCUAGAGUCCGGAAGAGGUAAGUGGAACUCCUAGUGUAGAGGUGGAAUUCGUAGAGUAUUAGGAAGAACACCAGUGGCGAAGGCGGCUUACUGGUCCGGUACUGACGCUGAGGUGCGAAAGCGUGGGGAGCAAACAGG